rnacentral:lncRNA from 1 species
AUUUAAGACACAGUACCACAGAUGCCAGAGUAAAUACAGACUGUGACAUUGUAAUAACUGGACAAGAACAUCUGUGCAAGGAUGAAGACAUUACAUGCAAUGCUACUGAUGCUGUUUGUUGCAUCAGUCUUUUCAAAACCAUUUCAUUCGCGCAGAAGAUUUGAUUCAUCAGACUCUGUGCGAUCUAGAUUCAGUUCAGAGGAAAAUGAUUCAAGCAGAGAAGACAGGGAGGAUUCACAGUCGGAUGAGAAAUCUGAAUCAAACGGGUCUAAAUCAAGUGAUUCUGACUCUUCGGAGGAAGAUAUCAGAGUUGUGUCAAGCACAUUCCCUCCAGCUAGCACAACAAGUCCAUCGACCGCUGGCAAGACAACAGCAACCCCAUCAACUACCACAACACAAGACAUCACAAACUGUGUUACCGGAACAAGGGGUGAUGGUAAUGUUAUUAUAAUAUCGUGCGGUACUUCUGGUUAAUCAUCAGUUGAAUGUUUAAAGGUGUACAAUUCAUUACAAUUUACGUUAUAAAGUAAUGUUUAUGUGCCGAUAAUGAAGGUCUUGACACUGAAUGAUGUAAGUUUUAAAAUUAUUUACUUUUAAACGAUAUGUCACUAUACUAUGGUUUUAAGGGCUUAUUUAGAAUUUAAAAAAUCUUUCAAAUGCAAUUGUCAUAACAGUUUUAUGAUUUAACACCCUUUAACACACUGUUUUCCAAUGGGAUUUAUUACUGGUAGUACUUUGUCUGAAGCAAUAAAAUAUGAUUUAUCAGCAUAUUAAAAUGAGAGUUCAGUACAUUUUUUGCAACUUUUUCAG